AUACGGAGGGUGCGAGCGUUGUUCGGAAUUAUUGGGCGUAAAGAGCAUGUAGGCGGUCUGUUAAGUCUGGUGUGAAAGCCCGGGGCUCAACCCCGGAAGUGCAUUGGAUACUGGCAGACUUGAGUAUGGGAGAGGAAAGCGGAAUUCCGAGUGUAGGAGUGAAAUCCGUAGAUAUUCGGAGGAACACCAGUGGCGAAGGCGGCUUUCUGGACCAAUACUGACGCUCAGAUGCGAAAGCGUGGGGAGCAAACAGGAUUAGAAACCCCAGUAGUCC
rnacentral:rRNA from 1 species